rnacentral:misc_RNA from 1 species
GAUGAAGAACGCAGCGAAAUGCGAUAAGUAAUGUGAAUUGCAGAAUCCAGUGAAUCAUCGAAACUUUGAACGCACAUUGCGCCCGCCAGCAUUCUGGCGGGCAUGCCUGUUCGAGCGUCAUUUCAACCCUCGACCUCCCCUUGGGGAGGUCGGCGUUGGGGACCGGCAGCACACCGCCGGCCCUGAAAUGGAGUGGCGGCCCGUCUGCGGCGACCUCUGCGUAGUAAUACAGCUCGCACCGGAACCCCGACGCGGCCACGCCGUAAAACACCCAACUUCUGAACGUUGACCUCGAAUCAGGUAGGACUACCCGCUGAACUUAAGCAUAUCAAUAAGCGGAGGA